UACAGAGGGUGCGAGCGUUGUCCGGAAUCACUGGGCGUAAAGGGCGCGUAGGUGGUUUGAUAAGGGUGUGGUGAAAGUCCGGGGCUCAACCCCGGAUCUGCCGUGCCGACUGUCAAACUCGAGGACUGUAGAGGCAGACGGAAUUCCGGGUGUAGCGGUGGAAUGCGUAGAGAUCCGGAGGAAGACCGGUGGCGAAGGCGGUCUGCUGGGCGAGUUUCUGACACUGAGGCGCGACAGCG
rnacentral:rRNA from 1 species